rnacentral:rRNA from 1 species
ACCUAUGGCCGUAACACCCUAAAAACACCCGAUUUUAUCUGAUCUCAUAAGCUGAGCAGGGUUGGGCCUUGUUAGUACUUGGAUGGGAGACCGCCUGGGAAUACCAGGUACUGUAGGCU